rnacentral:rRNA from 1 species
GCAUAUCAAUAAGCGGAGGAAAAAGAAACCAACAGGGAUUGCCUUAGUAACUGCGAGUGAAGCGGCAAAAGCUCAAAUUUGAAAUCUGGCGUCUUUGACGUCCGAAUUGUAAUUUGGAGAGACAUCUUCGGAGUAGACGCCGUCCUAAGUUCCUUGGAACAGGACGUCACAGAGGGUGAGAAUCCCGUGCCUGGAUGGCUGUUCUACUUCAUGUGAAGUGUCUUCGACGAGUCGAGUUGUUUGGGAAUGCAGCUCAAAAUGGGAGGUAAAUUUCUUCUAAAGCUAAAUAUUGGCGAGAGACCGAUAGCGCACAAGUAGAGUGAUCGAAAGAUGAAAAGCACUUUGAAAAGAGAGUUAAAAAGUACGUGAAAUUGUUGAAAGGGAAGCGCUUGAGACCAGACUCGAUCAGUGGUGAUCAGCGGUGCUUCUGUACCGUGCACUUGCCAUUGAUUGGGCCAGCAUCGGUUUAGACGGCGGGAUAAAGACCUAAGGAAUGUGGCUCCUCUCGGGGAGUGUUAUAGCCUUGGGUGCAAUGCCGCCAGUUUGGACCGAGGACCGCGCUUCGGCUAGGAUGCUGGCGUAAUGGUCUUCAGCGACCCGUCUUGAAACACGGACCAAGGAGUCUAACAUCUAUGCGAGUGUUCGGGUGGAAAACCCUUGCGCGUAAUGAAAGUGAACGGAGGUGAGAACACUUCGGUGUGCAUCAUCGACCGAUCCAGAUGUCUUCGGAUGGAUUUGAGUAUGAGCAUAGCUGUUGGGACCCGAAAGAUGGUGAACUAUGCCUGAAUAGGGUGAAGCCAGAGGAAACUCUGGUGGAGGCUCGCAGCGGUUCUGACGUGCAAAUCGAUCGUCAAAUUUGGGUAUAGGGGCGAAAGACUAAUCGAAACCAUCUAGUAGCUGGUUCUGCCGAGU